rnacentral:lncRNA from 1 species
CUGCAGCACAGCGACCUGCAGCACAGCGACCUGCAGCACCUGCAUGACAGCUUCAUAAGGUGCUGGCAGACGAGGCGCUUCUCUGUCCUCAGUCUCGUCGACACGAGACCUAUGCCGCUAUUGCCUGGCCUGUCUUUCGUGCCCGUCCCUCGAGACUCGGCUGACGCAGGCGUUGGCGAGACGAUAGCCGUGGAUGCCAGCCACCUGGACAUCUGCAAGCCUCUCUCCAGGAGCUGCCGUGUGUACGCCGUGGUGCUGGACUGGUGCUUGCGUACCGUGGCCGGCUGCGUAUAAUUCAAGCAAGUAAAACAGCAUGCA